GAUGAACGCUGGCGGCGUGCCUAAUACAUGCAAGUCGAGCGAACGGACGAGAAGCUUGCUUCUCUGAUGUUAGCGGCGGACGGGUGAGUAACACGUGGAUAACCUACCUAUAAGACUGGGAUAACUUCGGGAAACCGGAGCUAAUACCGGAUAAUAUUUUGAACCGCAUGGUUCAAAAGUGAAAGACGGUCUUGCUGUCACUUAUAGAUGGAUCCGCGCUGCAUUAGCUAGUUGGUAAGGUAACGGCUUACCAAGGCAACGAUGCAUAGCCGACCUGAGAGGGUGAUCGGCCACACUGGAACUGAGACACGGUCCAGACUCCUACGGGAGGCAGCAGUAGGGAAUCUUCGGCAAUGGGCGAAAGCCUGACGGAGCAACGCCGCGUGAGUGAUGAAGGUCUUCGGAUCGUAAAACUCUGUUAUUAGGGAAGAACAUAUGUGUAAGUAACUGUGCACAUCUUGACGGUACCUAAUCAGAAAGCCACGGCUAACUACGUG
rnacentral:rRNA from 1 species